rnacentral:rRNA from 1 species
CAAAGCUCUUCGCUUACACCGAGAAGAUAUCUGUUCGAAUCAGAUCAUUUUGAGCCUCAAAUCUAGCCCACAUGACCCGCAUGAAAACCUUAAACUACUGAAAAAAAUAAAUCAUUUUAACAUUCUAGUAUAGGUGAUAGAAAAAUUACUAAGCGCCUUAGAAAUAGUACCGCAAGGGAAAUAUGAAAUAGAAGUGAAACAAUAUUGCAGCCACAAACAGCAGAGACAUCACCUUGUACCUUUUGCAUCAUGGUCUAGCCAGUCCACCCAAGCAAAAUGAAAACUUUAGUCUGACCCCCCGAAACUAAGCGAGCUACUUCAAAACAGCUUUUAGAGCCAACCCAUCUCUGUUGCAAAAGAGUGGGAAGAUUUUCAAGUAGAGGCGACAAACCUAUCGAGCUUAGAGAUAGCUGGUUGUUCAGGAAAAGAGUCUUAGCUCUGCCUUAAGCUUUUACAUUACACCAAACAACCCCCAAAGCUUAAGAGUUAUUCAAAUUAGGCACAGCUUAUUUGAAAUAGGAUACAACCUACACCACCGGGUAAGACAGGUUAAUAAAAAUAAAGUAGGCCCAAAAGCAGCCAUCUUUAAAAAAGCGUCAAAGCUUGGUUAUUGCAACCCCAAAUUACUAAAACACCCACUAACCCCUCAUUCCUACUGAACCACUUUAUAUUAUUAUAAAUACGAUGAUGCUAGAACUAGUAACAAGAACUCGCCGUUCUCCACAAUGUAAACAUACACCAAAACGGACUCUCCAUUGGUGAUUAACGUAAAUGCAAAGUUAUAAUAACACAAAACCAGAAAACCUUAUGACUCUUCACGUCCCCCUAACACUAGAACAUUCAAGGAAAGAUUAAAAGAAAGAGAAGGAACUCGGCAAAUUUUAGCCCCGCCUGUUUACCAAAAACAUCGCCUCCUGAUUAAACAUAAGAGGUCCAGCCUGCCCAGUGAUAACAUUCAACGGCCGCGGUAUCUUAACCGUGCGAAGGUAGCAUAAUCACUUGUUCUUUAAAUGGGGACUCGUAUCAACGGCAUCACGAGGGUUAUACUGUCUCCUCUCUCCAAUCAGUGAAACUGAUCCCCCCGUGAAGAAGCGGGGAUCUAAUUAUAAGACGAGAAGACCCCAUGGAGCUUUAAACCCAAUUUGCACCCCCCUCAAACAUCAACUAAACCUCAGGGGCCUGUACAUUGGUUUUAGGCUGGGGGGACCACGGAGCAAAAUAAAACCUCCAUAACAAAUGGGCUAGCACCCUUAUCCAAGAUUUACAAAUCCAAGAAUCAUUAAAAUGAUGUUUAAUGACCCAAUAAUUUGAUCAAUGAACCAAGUUACCCUGGGGAUAACAGCGCAAUCCACUCCAAGAGCCCGUAUCGACAAGUGGGUUUACGACCUCGAUGUUGGAUCAGGGUAUCCCAGUGGUGCAGCCGCUAC